rnacentral:rRNA from 1 species
GACGGAAGGUGCAAGCGUUGCUCGGAAUCACUGGGCGUAAAGGGUGCGUAGGCGGCCGCGCAAGUCUGGCGUGAAAGCCCCGGGCUCAGCCCGGGAAGGGCGCUCGAAACGGCGCGGCUCGAGUGCCGGAGGGGAGAGUGGAAUUCCUGGUGUAGCGGUGAAAUGCGUAGAUAUCAGGAGGAACACCGGUGGCGAAGGCGGGUCUCUGGGCCGAUACUGACGCUGAGGAGCGAAAGCGUGGGGAGCGAACAGG